CAGAUUUGGUGACACGUCUCGCACAUAGACUGUUACCUAGGUUAGACAAUCUGCCAGGAUUAACUAACCUUCGAAAAAACCACCUGCCAGGGUGGUUUUUUUCGU
rnacentral:antisense_RNA from 1 species